UACGUAGGGGCCGAGCGUUGUCCGGAGUUACUGGGCGUAAAGCGCGCGCAGGCGGCGCGGUAAGCAUGGCGUGAAAGCCCCCGGCUCAACCGGGGGAGGUCGCCGUGGACUGCCGUGCUUGAGGGCGGCAGGGGUCGGUGGAAUGCCCGGUGUAGUGGUGAAAUGGCGUAGAGAUCGGGCGGAACACCCGUGGCGAAGGCGGCGACCUGGGCCAAUACUGACGCUGAGGUGCGAAAGCGUGGGGAGCAAACAGG
rnacentral:rRNA from 1 species